rnacentral:rRNA from 1 species
CUACAAAUGAAUUGACGGGACCCGCACAAGCGGUGGAUGAUGUGGUUUAAUUCGAUGCAACGCGAAAACCUUACCUACCCUUGACAUGUCAAGAAUUUUGCAGAGAUGUGAAAGUGCUCGAAAGAGAACUUGAACACAGGUGCUGCAUGGCCGUCGUCAGCUCGUGUCGUGAGAUGUUGGGUUAAGUCCCGCAACGAGCGCAACCCUUGUCAUUAGUUGCUACCGCAAGGAGCACUCUAAUGAGACUGCCGGUGACAAACCGGAGGAAGGUGGGGAUGACGUCAGGUCCUCAUGGCCCUUAUGGGUAGGGCUACACACGUCAUACAAUGGCCGGUUCAGAGGGCUGCCAACCCGCGAGGGGGAGCCAAUCCCAGAAAACCGGUCGUAGUCCGGAUCGUAGUCUGCAACUCGACUGCGUGAAGUCGGAAUCGCUAGUAAUCGUGAAUCAGAAUGUCACGGUGAAUGCGUUCCCGGGCCUU